rnacentral:pre_miRNA from 1 species
CCUCUGCUUUAACAUGGGGACACCUGCUGUGUUAGACAAAAGUAAGUGCUUCCAUGUUUGAGUGGAGG